rnacentral:lncRNA from 1 species
GAAAGCCAAAUGCAACAGCAGAAGAAAUUAGUUUUGUUCGCCAUGCCGCCUUGCGUUUACUUGUGUCAUACCGUCAACUUUCAUUAAUUUAAAAGUUUAAUUGAUCGAUUUGAGCAUUUGACAUUAGUUCAAAAAUUUAGCAGCAUAGAGAUGGUUGCAUAGGCAAUGAUCAGAAGCUCUAAGCAUGUAUCAUAAGAUUCAGUAAUGCUUACUACAGGUUACAGGAACACAUGGACACCCAAAAACAGUGAGAUUCCCUCUUCUAAGGUGAAAACUAUUGCAGAUAUGUGUGUGACAUUGGAUAUUUGGUACAAUGCUAAGUCUGUCUUUGAAGAGGUCACCAAAUUUGGAAAAGUCCAAAUUAUCAUUAUGGUGGAAUCCUUGACUGGCAUGACUAUAGUCGAUAAGGGCGGUCAACGUGUUCAGGUGAACUGUGGGGCAACCGAGAAUGAUCCAACGGCGGAUAAGACGACGGUAACUUGUCGUAGAUUUCUCCUGUUUCGUAAGUGCUAGGAUAUAAGGAUGCAGAAGGGUGGUAACUUGGAGGAGUCUUUGGAGGAGUGUAAGGCGUUUGUGGAUGAACGGGGAAAUGACUGGCCGCUUCUUGGUUGUAAUUCGGAGUUGGUUUGUAUUUUAGUUUCAAUGGUUCAUAUUCCUCGAUUAGUUGCUGGUAAUUGUAAUAUCCAUCACGUUCUUUUAACUGAUUCCUUGGCUCACUUGAUUUUCCUGGUGCGAGUCUAUGGACUGUCGUACUGGUUUUCGUUUUUAUUUGACGGUUAUCAAGUCCAACAACUGCCGUGGCUAAAAGAGCAAGAAGGAUUGAAUCCAGAAACUGCGUAAUACGUUAUUAUACAAAAAUUUAUUCAUUAAUUGUUUUCUUAAGUUUCUCAAAGCUUUUACUAAACACUACUUACUCCGAGGACUUCGCGUUUCAUGCUGUUCAAAUAUUUUGAUUAUCUACGCGUUGCAGUACUUCCACGCAGGAGCUGUGUUCGAAGGCGACUUUGAUUGAUCAGCAGCAGACUGACAGGAUUUAUAUUCGGUCUAGGUAGGUGCCUCUUUCUCAAAACAGUCAUUGCACUAAUAGAACAUUUUCUCUGGCACGUGUUUCUUGCAUUCGCGCGGUGGGUCGGCCUUUGUUUUCCUGGUUCCGCAAGGCUUCUCAGGUGGUUUCAGCUUUGAUAGUCCUUUCUAUUUAUUUAUUUUUUUUUUAACUCUGCUGCAAGAAUCAAGCUUCCUUUUCAUGAUGGCUACGCUGGUCAGUCAUCCUGUCAAAAGAAUAUGGAAUAGUGAUUGAAAAUUCCAUAAUUCAAUAGAAUUUUUAAAGAAAAUUAAUGCAGAAUAUCCCGAAUGACAAGAAAUUGUGCCGCAAGCCGUUAACCACGAAUUUGAGAAAUCGAGAUUUCUAACACUCGACAGAAGCGUUCUAAGUAAUUCAGGUUUCGAUCGGGAAAAGUCAUACGGAACUAUGUCAGCAUGGGCGGAGAAAUUUUCGAGAAUAUGUCGUUAAUUCAUAAUGGCCAUUCAUUACAUUUCUGCAGUAAUAACAGGUUGCAUUUCGCCCAAGACAGCACCAAUAACUAAGAAAGUAUGUUUGAUUCGAAAACCAUACGCAACAUGUUAAUUCGAAAGAAUUUGCAAAAAGUAAGCAACUGGAAGCAGUUUUCUCUAUACAAGUCCCGGAUUUCACUCGCCUAUUGAAAGCAACGAUGGAAAGGAGAUUGACCUGAAACGUUAUCCGAGUUCUUUUUCCGGGCAUCCCGACCUGUUUGUUUGAAUGCGGAAACUUUAUUCCAUGAGCAAGGUGUAUCGUCUUUGACAUUUCAUAUUUAUUACUACUAGACCUUUCUCAAAAUUGUGAUCUCGUUUUCAGUGUGCUUUGCCAUCGAUUCCAGUUUCUCAAGUACUAUUGACCAAGGUAAGGUUUGAAUCGUAGGAUUCGUCCGUGUCUAUAUUAACCGAAGCGCUGAAGCUUAGCUUGGGAACGAGAUCAAAAGAAAGGAAGCAUUUAUCUUCUUUUAAAACAAUCGUCUACCCAGCUGCAGGCAACCGUGUAUCUUCUACAUUCAUAGCGAGGUUAUUAUCAGAAACAUGUAAAGGCCAACACCCAGUAAUAACACAUUGAGAAAGCCUUCAAUUUGCGGAAAAAAAUUGGAAGUCAUGCAGGUAAUUGGACGGAGAUAGCGCGCGUGCAUGUAGAUCCAAAGCAUUCUAACAUCCAGGCCAUUUAUCUUGCGCAGUUUGUCAUCUGUAAUCCAUAUACUAUUACAGUACAUGUAACCCGUUAAGAUCUUCGUGACCGAAGAUCAGACACACAGCAGGAACCAGGAAGAUUUGGAAACAGUAUACAAAAAACUUACGGACUUCCAAUAUACUAAAAUCACCUUCGCAAGUAUUGAGUACAAUUUGGAAUAAGAUCGUCUUUGCCAUGAAAUUAAAGUGCGGAUUAAGCGCUUCAUUCUUUUCCCCUACAUAAAGCGACAGAAAAGAUUCAUCGUAGCUGUAGUCGAACAAUUUGAUAAUAGCACUAAGACACGCGCGUACGCAAUACUGAACCUUUCUUAUGUAAAUGUUCUAUAACUCGUGCUUUUUUAUUAUGUUAUGGAGCCGCCAAUUGAUUUUCUAGUGUUACGUUUCCUUUAACUUGAUCUCCUCUUGUAUCUUCAUUUUUAAAUCGACGAAACAAAAGGAAUAGAAAACCGUCUGGUGAGUAGGUGCGACUCAGGUGCGUCUAUUUAAAUACAGAAACAGCAGGUAAAAAAAAUGAGAAGUAUAAUUUUAAAUAAAAAUGUGUAUUAUCUUUUUAUUUUAAAACUACCGUUUAAUGUUUGUCGGAUACAUGUGUAAGGAACUCCUGUUGACAUCGUUGUUAAAUUUUGAAUCCAAAUAAUGUAUUUUUUAAAAAGAAAUAUCUAGGUUUUUGAAUAAAUAACUUGGUCUGUUCUAACCUUCUAGAUUCGCCUUUAUUUUGGUUGUAAACAAAAAAACUAGAUGUCGCUGGUGCUCUUCCCUAAUUGUUUUUUUGUGAUUUCGUGUGACUGUGGUGUGAGUAGUGAAACCUGUGUUAGAAAGUUUUGUUAAAUAUAUUAUCCAAUGGAAAGUUUUAUAAAACUAACUACAAUCAAGUGUUUUAUUCCCUGUGUAGUUUUUGGAAGUGAAGCACACAGAAUAGUAAAUGUUUUAUGUGACGGGUAAUCUUGUAAGCUAUGCAAGCUGCCAACAAUCCAAACAGUCACAGAUUACCCUGUGAACAUUUACCCUGUCAUUGAGAAAUCUAGCUCAUGAAACUUACAACACAAAGGAUUCUAACCUGGAGGAAGGUCAACAACGAUGUGAAUUCUCAGAAUCAAAACACUACGGUCUCAUUCUACUACCCUUUGCCUAGUCAUCAGAUUCAGAUUUAAUCAGAAAAGUGCAUCGUGUUCCUCUGUUUUGUUGCCAAUGAAUAACCAUCACCAACCAACACACAUAGACAUGGAUGUCAAAAACAAUCCCUUUUGGACUGCCAAUUCUUUGCCUUCUUCAGCAAAAUUGCCGACCAAACAAUUUUUGCAGUCUUCGGACAACAGGGAACUAUGCCAUCUUCUUCUUCUGUCCCACGCAAAAUUGAAAAUCAAGAUUAUAAGUUUGGCCCGUUCUUCGCUUCAUCAUCCGUCUUCGCCUCGUGUUCGCCCGGUUUUUGCCCGUCACCCCAUCUUCGUCUCGCCCGUCGCCCCGUCUUCUUCCCGCCCGUCGCCCCGUCUUCGUCUCGCCCGUCGCCCCGUCUUCGCCUCGCCCGUCGCCCCGUCUUCGCCUCGCCCAUCGCCCCGUCGUCGCCUCGUGGUCGCCCCGUCAUUGCCGUUAUCUUCAUGGUAUCGUUGUAUUUUGUAAUGUGUAGUGUUAAUUAACCCGUUGGCUGCCACCCACUUUGAUCCCCUUUUUUUUUUAGCUUGUUAGGGUCCGGCAGCACUGUUCUGCCCAAUGGUCUAUAUGCCAUGGGUGGGACAGUUGCACAAGCCGUGUGGCGCAACGUCGAUCGUCGAGGCAAUACACCAGUAGGGACUCCCUCUUGUCGAUGCGGUGAUGGUUGCCUGGGGUGUGUAUUCCCAUAACGGCUUCCAUCAUCGUGUCAGCCCGGACUUUUCAAGUCCCCCUUGGUCGCGAUCCAUUUGAUCGCGAUGUAGCUAGCGUAGUUUAAAUGUGACGUGGCAGCCAACGGGUUAGUUGUAUGUAUUUUUGUUUGUAUUGUAUGUUAUGUAUUGUAUUUUGAAAUGUAUAAAAUAGUGGUGGAUUUGUGGGUGGAUGGUGGGACAAUAAAAUGCAUUUUAUUUA